rnacentral:rRNA from 1 species
AUACGUAGGGGGCAAGCGUUGUCCGGAAUUACUGGGCGUAAAGGGUGCGCAGGCGGCUUGGUUAGUCAGAAGUGAAAGUUUGCAGCUUAACUGUAAAAGUGCUUUUGAUACUGCCUGGCUUGAGUCUCGGAGGGGUAAGCGGAAUUCCUAGUGUAGCGGUAAAAUGCGUAGAUAUUAGGAGGAACACCAGAGGCGAAGGCGGCUUACUGGACUGUAACUGACGUUGAGGCUCGAAGGCGUGGGGAGCAAACAGGAUUAGAUACCCUGGUAGUCCACGCGGUAAACGAUGAUCACUAGGUGUUGGCACGCAUAGCGUGUCGGUGCCGCAGCAAACGCAAUAAGUAUUCCACCUGGGGAGUACGUUCGCAAGAAUGAAACUCAAAUGAAUUGGCGGGG